CCAUUGGCUGGAUCAAAAAGGAAGCCAGAGGGUGAGAGUGCCUGUUAAUAUAAUCUACCAAGGUCAGAUGUAGGAGGAUGGACCAUGGAUCUGGUGGGUCAAGUGAAAGAAUUCCAGUGCAACGUACCUGGCAACUAGAAAUCACUUGUGUUCUUCAGCACUGAGAUGAGGAAAUUGAGAUUCACUGAAGGAGAAAGAUUACACUUCUUUCACUUUGGCCUGAGCUAAGAAAAAUGUGCUUCUGUUUAUUCCCCCAAGAUGACAACUUAAGUCUUUGAGUCUAUCAGUUCCAGGCAAGGGUCAAGCUCCACAGGACCAGCCAUCAGGGAAAUAACAUGACUUGUUAUUUCCAGACUACGUUCAGAACAGCUGGUCAUGCUCCCUCUCUCGGACAAUAGAACUUGAAUGAGUCUAAAGAGGCCCAGAGCUUCAAAACAAAAAGUUUACCUGUAGGA
rnacentral:lncRNA from 1 species